rnacentral:miRNA from 1 species
AGCCUGCGCCGGAGCCGGGGCCUGAGCCCGGGCCGCGCGGGCCGCGAACUCGUCGAGCUGC